GGCAAUUGCAAAAGACCUAAGCCCUUUCUACCAGAGGUUCAAUUCCUCUUCUUAACU
rnacentral:tRNA from 1 species